GCCGCUACUAUCGGUUCUGUCCAGGACUCUCUCAACUCCAACUUGACAAGUGUCUGAAUCACUGGGCGCUGCAGUCGGGAUGACAUAUGGAGGCAGGGAGACCCAGCGACACGCAGCCGACAAUCGAUUAAUCAGCGAAAAAUAAUAAGAAACACGUUCGUCGCUCCCCGCCGAAAAUCCUGACCCGCGGCCCCCCAGAGAUCCCGGGGAUGGAGAUGCAACUGCAGUCGGGAAUUGGAAUCGGAAUCCCUGAAUGCGGAACUGAUGUCGCUCGAGCACUCAAAAAAUGGGAAACUCCAACAUUUCGGGCAGACGAAUAAAUAAAAAGCAGCAGCAUCCAAGGCAGCGCUAUGACAAAAAUUUGUAGAUGAAUAAAACUUUGGGUCGAGUUGGCUCUA